rnacentral:rRNA from 1 species
UACGUAGGGUGCAAGCGUUGUCCGGAAUUAUUGGGCGUAAAGAGCUCGUAGGCGGUUUGUCGCGUCUGCUGUGAAAACCCGAGGCUCAACCUCGGGCCUGCAGUGGGUACGGGCACACUUGAGUGCUGUAGGGGAGACUGGAAUUCCUGGUGUAGCGGUGAAAUGCGCAGAUAUCAGGAGGAACACCGGUGGCGAAGGCGGGUCUCUGGGCAGUUGACUGACGCUGGAGGAGCGAAAGCAUGGGGAGCGAACAGGA